rnacentral:rRNA from 1 species
AUUGAACGCUGGCGGCAUGCCUUACACAUGCAAGUCGAACGGCAGCACGGGGCAACCUGGUGGCGAGUGGCGAACGGGUGAGUAAUGCAUCGGAACGUGCCAUUGAGUGGGGGAUAACGUAGCGAAAGUUGCGCUAAUACCGCAUAUUCUGUGAGCAGGAAAGCAGGGGACCGCAAGGCCUUGCGCUCUUUGAGCGGCCGAUGUCAGAUUAGCUAGUUGGUGAGGUAACGGCUUACCAAGGCGACGAUCUGUAGCGGGUCUGAGAGGAUGAUCCGCCACACUGGAACUGAGACACGGUCCAGACUCCUACGGGAGGCAGCAGUGGGGAAUUUUGGGACAAUGGGCGCAAGCCUGAUCCAGCCAUGCCGCGUGAGUGAAGAAGGCCUCGGUUGUAAG